UACAGAGGUCUCAAGCGUUGUUCGGAUUCAUUGGGCGUAAAGGGUGCGUAGGCGGCGCGGUAAGUCGGGUGUGAAAUCUCGGAGCUUAACUCCGAAGCUGCAUUCGAUACUGCCGUGCUUGAGUACUGGAGAGGAGACUGGAAUUUACGGUGUAGCGGUGAAAUGCGUAGAUAUUCGCAAGAACACCAGUGGCGAAGGCGGCUCACUGGACCGAUACUGACGCUGAGGCGCGAAAGCGUGGGGAGCAAACAGG
rnacentral:rRNA from 1 species